rnacentral:rRNA from 1 species
GGGACUUUGGCGAACGGUGGUGAGUAACACGUGGAUAACCUGCCCUCGGCACCGGGAUAGCCCGGGGAAACCUCGGAAUUAAUACCCGGAUAGCCCUUUACGACCUCUCGAGUCGGUCGGACAAAGGUAGCUUCGGCCUCUGGCCGAGGAUGGGUCCGCGGCGGAUUAGCUUGUUGGUGGGGUAAUGGCCUACCAAGGCUCCGAUCCGUAGCUGGUCUGAGAGGACGAUCAGCCACACUGGGACUGAGACACGGCCCAGACUCCUACGGGAGGCAGCCAGUGGGGGAAUCUUGCGGCAAUGGGCGAAAGCCUGACGCCAGCGACGCCGCGUGCAGGGAAGCA